UAGGAGCGAAUCUGCGAAUGUCGAGUCCAGCUGAGCCUAAGCGUCGUCGUUUUAAGGAACGAGUGGGGAGGGAGGGCGUAGAGGAGGAGGGGGAGAGCGCAGAGGGAAGGGGGCGGGGCGGCGGUGCGUUGUCGCCGUCGUCCCCGGCCUCCCCCCGUCCGCCCCUCGCCGGCGGCGUUCGGAGCUUAGAGGGCUGGGGGGUGAGUUGUCCCCCGCCUCCCGCCCCCGAUGUUUACCGGCGACGGCUCGGCUGGCCUCCGCCCCCUCCGCUGGUCCAGCACCUCCUCUAAUUUCGUCCUCCUCCUCCUCCUCCUCCUCCGCUCGCGGGGUGGCUGCUGCGGGGGCGCCGCAGGUGCAGAAGGCGGAGUCUAUUGCCUUUGGAGGUAUCUAGUUCGUGAUACGGUCCCCAGUAGUUCCUAUGGCUCUAUUGAUGACUUUGAUGCCCAGGUAGUUUAGACCUUUCCAGUUUUUGACUCUCCGCGUUUGUUUUAUUAGGUCGGCUACUAGGAUGAUUUGUCAAUAAUCUACUAUUCUAAAGGUAUUCUUUUUUCGAUUUUUACAACUUAGCCUAUCGAUGUCACUUCCUACUACCUUGACACCAACAAUUACAUGGUUCAUGAGAUCUUCGUUGAGGUCAACUACAACCUCCUCGUCUACCGAUACUACUACAACAACAACUUCUUAGUAAUCUACCUAGUCUAUAUGGUAUGUCUGGAGGUUAUGUCUAACAAUAUGAAUAGCACCCAUGUUCCCCUCUGCAAGUCGGUAAACAACGUUAUCCUUUUGCGAAUGUCCUAAUACCUGUGGCACACUCUAAUCGGUGAGUACGAUUGAUAUUCCUCAAGUAUGAAUGUCGACCCGACCUCAAAAAAGGUGACCCACCUCUGGGUUUUCAUGAACGACUUAUGUACCACUUCUUGUUUCCAAAGGAUGGAAGUCCGGGUAGUCUUUAAGGACAAGUUUCUUUUGUUUACUUUCUUUAAUAUAAAAGGGAUGACGGACGUACGUUCCUAGGACUGGGACUAUGGCCAUAACGAAAGUUUCACCUACGUUAAUAGCGCUUGGGUGGUCGUAUACCUGUAUGUGUACACCGUCUCCGUGAUUUUCAUGGGUAAGUAUAUAAGAAAUGGUACGGUACCUGCGGUUGAUCGCUUAAAGGAGUAGGAGAAAGAGCUCACUUUUGUAGUCGACCUAUAGCUGAAAGAAUGGUUUAACAACUGAGAUACUAAACCGAACCCUAUGCACUAUACUAUUUGCUUAAGUCCUUUUUCUUCAACUUCGACGCAGGUCAUUGUAUGGAUUCACCACGUGUCCCAAGACCUUCACUGUAAGGAGUACCUAUGUAGACCUCGGGAGUGGAACAGGGUUUUGGCUUUCUGACCCCGGGGUUCUAGCUACAACAACCUAAAACGAAGGAGCUAGAACGCAGACUAAUGCAUGGUGGACUUCUUGAACACUUUACCGAACUUCGCCCGCUGUUUGGGUAAAUAGGUCAAGUUCUAGGUCGUUUCUACUGACUUUGGUAACACUUCCGUGAGCUUUACUGACCUGUCUCUCCAUAGUAAUUGUUCCCAACCCCACCGGAGCCUUGUAACCGUCUUGGUUUUCUAAGGUAUAUACAAGAACUGUUGACGGGAGUGCUGACCGAAAAGGACGUCACAUUCCGUCACCAUGUGGUACCACCACGACCUUGCUGCCGACGGCCGGACUUUCGUCGCACAGGAUGUUGAUAACAUGGAAAGAAACCGCUGGUUGGUAAGACCCCUCUCGCCCAUGUACGAUCUCCCCAUCCCGGAAGCGGAUAUGGCCAACUAGUUAAGUGAAACGUCUUCAACCAACUACGAUAUUUUAAGUACAACCUAGGUCUCCACUUUCUUUUCCGGCACCUCGAACGGUUCCGGUACCUUAGUCUUCUGCCACAUUGCCCGCGUCAGUCCCGUAAGGAGUUUGUGGACGGGACAUUUUGUCUACUUUUAAGUGGGGGUGGUUGCGUGCCGAAAGAUCUCAAGGAUCCGGGUCAUUCAUUUACAAACCCCACGAGAAUCCACGACCAGUCUACUUCCAUAUGGUAAGGAGGGACGACUUGCUUCUCACAUUUUUUCCGAGAACCCACUGCGCGAUACGAUAAAGCACGCUAUUCUUACACCUUCGGUUUACAAUCUUCAGCUACAUGUACGUACGCUGGUCCUCGGGCACUAAAUAGCAAAACGCAAAAAAAACAUACACACAACACAUUUCUCAUAAACAGACCACUAAAAUUAUGUAGUAAAACCACACCAACGUUGGAACCAGACGUCGUUGGCUACUUAGAGUACAUACUGGUCUGUUGGACACAUAUACCUUUUGAAGUCUCACGUCUAAUCAAGUCAACGAGGAAAACGUCAAAUAUGCUAUAUCAAACUAAACUUUGACGACCCGUACAGUACCAAUAUUAAUGUCAUACAAAGUUCAAAAAGGAUCAAGAUGAUGUCCGGAAGUAAAAUUCUAUUUCAUCUCUGGACACUGGAGCACGUGCCCCCUUUCAUUAAUACAGUAGGGACAUGAAAAAAAAGAGUCAAAGGUUUUUAUACUUUUGUUCAGUACCAACAUUUAACCCGAUAUAGAACACUUUAUAAUGAACA
rnacentral:rRNA from 1 species